UCGGGGCGAAGUAGCUGAUUUCACACUGUCAAGAAAAGCUUCUAUCGAGUUUAAAGGCGCCCGUACCGUAAACCGACACAGGUGGGUGAGGAGAGUAUCCUAAGGCCAGCGAGAGAACUAUUGUUAAGGAACUCGGCAAAAUGACCCCGUAACUUAGGGAGAAGGGGUGCCUGUCUAUGACAGGCCGCAGAGAAUAGGCCCAAGCGACUGUUUACCAAAAACACAGGUUUCUGCUAAGUCGCAAGACGAUGUAUAGGAGCUGACGCCUGCCCGGUGCUGGAAGGUUAAGGGGAUCUGUUAGAGCAAUCGAAGCAGUGAACUUAAGCCCCAGUAAACGGCGGCCGUAACAAUAACGGUCCUAAGGUAGCGAAAUUCCUUGUCGGGUAAGUUCCGACCCGCACGAAAGGCGUAACGAUUUGGGCACUGUCUCAACAAUAGACUCGGUGAAAUUGUAAUCCCGGUGAAGAUGCCGGGUACCUGCGACAGGACGGAAAGACCCCAUGGAGCUUUACUGUAGCUUGACGUUGGGUCUUGGUACUACAUGUACAGGAUAGGUGGGAGACUAUGAAGCAUGGACGCCAGUCUGUGUGGAGUUAUCCUUGGGAUACCACCCUUGUAGUACUGGGAUCCUAACCAUAGGCCUUGAAUCAGGUCUUGGAACACCGUCAGGUGGGCAGUUUGACUGGGGCGGUCGCCUCCUAAAAAGUAACGGAGGCGCUCAAAGGUUUCCUUAGCACGGUCGGAAAUCGUGCGAAGAGUGUAAAGGCAAAAGGAAGCUUGAUUGCAAGACAUACAGGUCGAGCAAGGACGAAAGUCGGACUUAGUGAUCCGGUGGUACCGCAUGGAAGGGCCAUCGCUCAACGGAUAAAAGCUACCCUGGGGAUAACAGGCUUAUCUCCCCCAAGAGUCCACAUCGACGGGGAGGUUUGGCACCUCGAUGUCGGCUCAUCACAUCCUGGGGCUGUAGUAGGUCCCAAGGGUUGGGCUGUUCGCCCAUUAAAGUGGUACGCGAGCUGGGUUCAGAACGUCGUGAGACAGUUCGGUCCCUAUCCGUCGCAGGCGUAGGAAAUUUGAGAAGACCUGUCCUUAGUACGAGAGGACCGGGAUGGACGUACCUCUGGUGUACCAGUUGUUCUGCCAAGGGCAUGGCUGGGUAGCUAUGUACGGAAUGGAUAAGCGCUGAAAGCAUCUAAGCGCGAAGCCAACUUCAAGAUAAGAUUUCCCACCGUAAGGGUAAGACCCCAGGAAGACUACCUGGUUGAUAGGUCGAAGGUGUAAGUGCAGUAAUGUAUUUAGCUUAUCGAUACUAAUAGGUCGAGGACUUGAUC
rnacentral:rRNA from 1 species